GAUGAAGAACGCAGCGAAAUGCGAUAAGUAAUGUGAAUUUCAGAAUUCAGUGAAUCAUCGAAUCUUUGAACGCAUCUUGCGCUCCUUGGUAUUCUGAGGAGCAUGCCUGUUUGAGUGUCAUUAAAUUCUCAACUACACUGACUUUGAAUUGGUGUGGCUUGGAUUUGGGGGGAAAAUUGUUGUGGGCUUUUUGUAUAGUCUGCUCCCCUGAAAUUGAUUAGCGGUACCUUUGUGGAACUGUCUACAGGUGUGAUAAUUAUCUACAUCUUAGACAUCUGCUGGAAUGCUGCUUUCUAAACCUUACUUGUAUUGACAAUCUUGACCUCAAAUCAGGUAGGACUACCCGCUGAACUUAAGCAUAUCAAUAAGCGGAGGA
rnacentral:misc_RNA from 1 species